rnacentral:rRNA from 1 species
UACGAAGGGGGCUAGCGUUGUUCGGAAUUACUGGGCGUAAAGCGUGCGCAGGCGGCUUCUCAAGUCAGGGGUGAAAGCCCAGAGCUCAACUCUGGAAUUGCCUUUGAGACUGAGUGGCUUGAGUACGGGAGAGGUGAGUGGAAUUCCCAGUGUAGAGGUGAAAUUCGUAGAUAUUGGGAAGAACACCGGUGGCGAAGGCGGCGAUCUGGGUAGAUACUGACGCUGAGGUGCGAAAGCGUGGGGAGCAAACAGG